UGCUGUGUUGAAAGACCCCCGGAGUGGGGAGACCCUCACUCAAGUCUCCGGAUGACACGACCCCCCAAGAACUCACACAAGACC
rnacentral:pre_miRNA from 14 species